UACCAAUAUUUGGAUGAAAAAAGUGACUUUCACUUUUCAGUCAGUCAGCUCAGUUAUUUAUUAAGUUUCACAAUAUUCGGUCGCAUGAAAAACGACAACGUUUGCCGUAUCCAUAUGAGAUUGGUUAUACCGAUUAUGCCGGUUAUGUAAUUACCUGUUCCGUAAGUUCUGGAUAUUGGAUCUGCUAUGAUGACGAAAUACCAUACAAGAAGGCAGAAGUGGACCACUUCACGCGAUUUUCUGGGGCUAAUGUCGGAUCAACUGGAUGAUGGAAUACAUACGAAAAUGCCGGGAAAACCUCCAUUUCAGCAGUAUGGCAGACAGCCGAAGCAAGGGCAGGGACCGGUGGUCAAGUUCAGCAAGCAACCUGCGCCCAGCAUGUGGUCUCGACCCCAGCCAGAGUCAGCAGCAAAUUGUGAAGGUCAUAGUCGCAAGCCCUUCAAAUCAGAACAUUAUCACCUAGCAACAUCAUCCAAACAGGCAGUACAAGUGCAAUCAGUCGGGCAGAAGGUCUCAGUUGCUACGGUUAGUACUAGUUAGUUGCGCAGCCAGCAUCUAUUGCCGCUGGUGGACAAAUCGUGCUGGGUAAGACCAGUGUCGGACGGUUCAUUCCGGUGUCAGUGUCACAACAGGCCAACCAACGACAGACCGUUCAAGUUGUGACCGCAACUUCGGCUGCACAAGCAAAUGCAGCUGGCAAUAUCCGAGCCCAUGUUCCUACUCAGAACAUCGGGAACAUUAAGGUGGCCGCCGGAGCUACUUCAGCUCAGCAGCAGCAGGCUAUUCUGACUGAAUUUUAAAAUCAGCAGCGCUAAACUGCAAGCCAGGGGGGAAGACACUUGAAUCAAUGUUUGAAUCAUUCAAAAGAUUAAAAAAAAAAUCGAAAAGAUUCAGAAUGAUUCGGCGGGAUGAAUCUUUUUUAUAUAUUUUUUUCGCCUUAAGGAUGUUUUUUUUCAGUGUGGCGAGACUUUUGAAUAAAAAAACAAACAUAAACAAUGUGCCGCAGAUGCCGUUCUAGCUCUGGAAGUUCCGUCGGCUGCCAGGGCAGGACAAUUAAUUCGCUUCUGGAAGAGUACGACACAAAAGUCCUGCGUCAGGAUGGUCCGAUCAUCAGUGGAAAGUUUGAAUGAUGUUCCGGAAUUGGUGACCUCUACCGCAAAAUGUCAUCCAACCCGUACGACUUGACCGUGGAAUACAAAUUUCCAGCAGAGCCAUAUGAAUUUUCUUGCUGGUCUACAGGUGGCGGCCGACAGUGAUUUAAUAGCAACAGGUCAACAUUAUUCAUCGGUCAAUCCGGUUACCUUUGCGGCACACUGAUCAAACCAGAUUUGUUAUUCGAUGGAAUCUGGAAGCGAAAAAUUAUCUUGAACGAUGUAAAAUGUGGAGAUUAUGCAGCGUGAAAUAAAAAUGGUCCUAUAUCGAAGCCCACCUUUCCGGAGAAGGUUUCACGGCUGUAUCGAACUACGACGCUUGACACUGUUUUUUUUUAUAUCAGCCUGAAUGCCACUUUCAACCGGGAAUAACCUCUUUCAUCGCCCCAUUGAGUGUCCUAACUUCCAAACCUGCCCCUUACAAUGCUUCAUCCUCGGCCACCUAGUCACACCGUUCACACCGCUUGUGCUGUCUCCUCCGGUCUUAAGCGAUUCGAAGUCAUCAUCAAGUCAUCAAUACAUAAAAGUUUCUCAUUGAACAGCAUCUAUAAUCAGCUUUAUGGCAUAGAUCUAUCGGUCGCAGCCACGCGAGUUCCGAUCACCUCGAUCGCGAUACAAAAGAUCGCCCCUUUCUGGCCAAUAACAAUCAGUUUAAAGAUUAACACCUCGACCAAGAAGCAGUGGAAAUUACUGUUGAAUCAAAAGUCAAUCAAGUACACGAGUUCUGGUUAAGAGUUGAAGAAAUGUUGAUCAAUAGCUGAAGAAGGAAAAUCGGAUUCCAGGCACUGGUAUAUUAUGGGUUUACUAUCAAAGAAAGUCCGAAUUAGUCAAAUUAGUCCGAAUGUGUCCAGUAAUGAUUUUGGAAGGAUAGCGAAAGUUCAACAGAAGAUAUGAAAUCAGGUGGAAAUUAUCAACAGACAGCGUUCUAUGCUGCCGUAUCCAGACUGACCAGACCAGACAAACAUUAGCUUGAUUCCGUUGCUAAUCUACAAGGUCUCAAUGUAGUGCAAAUCGAUCGUUCGGAAGAACCCUCAGUAGACUGCGUUACUGGUGACGUAGUGAUGGACCGUACUGAAUAGUGACGACUGUUGACGACUGAAUAAAUAAAUAAAUUUAAUUUGA